rnacentral:lncRNA from 1 species
AUGGUCUCAGAUACAGUCUUAACCCUUAAAGAAUUCUGGAAGGAACAGGACACAUCCUCUCCUGUGUGGGGUUCACUGGGCUGUUGUCUCUCUAAGGACACUGAGAUUGGCCUGUGUGUAGGAGAGGGACUCUGAAGGCCGUGCAGAGGAGCUGGGCCUCCAUUGACCAACUUGAGUUACAAGCAGCCCUCAAGAAAAGAUUGAGUUUGUAAGCCAAGGUUCCAGCAUGAUCUCUAAAGCACAGCCUGGUCCCUGGAAUCUGCUUGAAUUCUGAACCCAUCCAGCUCUAAGAGCCAGGGUGGGUCAGCGGCAUCACCAGCGUUGUGUCUGCAGAAUUUGACAGUGACACCGCUCCCCUGAGACAGUAACUGGUGUCCCCUAUGAAGAGCUUCAUGCAUCGAGUUACUUCCCUGGUCCCUGUGCCUGGGGAGUUCACUUUUAACAGGAACAGAGGGCCAUCUGUGGAUGGCCAGCAGUGUGGUGGUGCGGCCCGGAGAGCUGCAGGAACCCCAGGGUUAAGGGGGCCACAGGACAGAGGACCGAGACCAGCGGCGGACCAGGCGGCACUGGCCUCUGCCCCAUCGAGUGUUUAAACCUGGCCCUGCGGAGCUGGACAGCAGGCCAAGCAAAGCCAACUCAUUUGAUGAUUACCACAAGACCCUUAGCCACGUCGCAAGCCUCGGAAUACCACAGAAGGCCACUGCUUGAAGAUCCACACUUCCCUGAACAGUACUCCAAAUGGAAGGAAAUGGAUCUGCCAUAUCCCGAAGAGUGGAAGUUCAAAUUUGCCAUCGCCAGGUCUCGGUUUGCCCGAGAGAGCAGAGUACCAAGCAGUGUCAGCCUUUCAGGGGAGAUGAACCACCUCUGCCCUACUCCAGAAGAACACCCUACUGAGUCACAACCAGAACUAGAUCAUGUCACAGAGACCCAUGAAACAGAGGACGUGUGA